UACGUAGGGUCCGAGCGUUGUCCGGAAUUAUUGGGCGUAAAGGGCUCGUAGGCGGUUUGUCGCGUCGGGAGUGAAAACGCCGGGCUUAACCCGGUGCUUGCUUUCGAUACGGGCAGACUGGAGGUAUGCAGGGGAGAACGGAAUUCCUGGUGUAGCGGUGAAAUGCGCAGAUAUCAGGAGGAACACCGAUGGCGAAGGCAGGUCUCUGGGCAUUAACUGACGCUGAGGAGCGAAAGCAUGGGGAGCGAACAGG
rnacentral:rRNA from 1 species